ACUAGUUGUAGAACCAAAAAUCUACACUAUGUAUUUGAUAGUGAUCGGGGUUUGAUCUAGGGAAGACAAAUGAUGUAGGCAACAAUAUCUUUAGAACACAACGAUGUUAAACAGUUUCCAGUAGGUAAAAAUGGACUUUAUUAAUGAAUAAGAUCGAAUACAAAGAGUUGAACUAGAUCGAGUGAUACAAACGAGAUCCGUAAUGAAAGAGUCUAAGAUCGGGAGGAAAACAAGGUCGAUGUAAGUGUGUAGCUCUCUCUAGGGUUUUCAAUGUGUCCUUCUUAAUGUCUCUUCUCCUUUCUUUAUUGUAAGUUGACUUCGUGAUCUCCGUAGCUUCUCCGCGAUCUCCGGGGCCUCGACUCCUUUGCUUUUCGAGCUCGAUUGCUUGUUAUGGGCUUCGGUUCCUUGCGGCCCAUAACUCUUAUCGCGGCCCAUUGAUGUAUUGACCGGAAUUGGGUCCAACACUUGUCCCCUAGCCUUUUGGUUUAUUUGGGAAACCGAAGGG
rnacentral:lncRNA from 1 species